AACUCCUGCAAUUCACACUGAGUAUGCCUCCUUUUUCAGUAUUGCCAAGUCCUGGACCAAUUUGUGUACAGAUCUCUGGCCAACUGUGAAACCUCUUCAGCCUUUCACCUGCAUCAUCAAAUGUGGAGGACUGGAGGCAAUGAGAGACUGAUGCACACUCUGGAGAGAAACUGAUACUCCUAAAGGUACUGUUUACCACAAUGAACACACUUUUAUCAUGUCAACAGCUUCCAUCUCUACAUUGCCCUGUGUAAGAAUACACUGGGAGCUGAUAUAACCUCAGUGAUGGUAAAACAGGAUAUGGAAUCCAGCAAACAUUCCUUAAAUGGACCUAACAUCAAUAUUCUGAAACAGAAGUGGAAAUGAAACUGAGACAGAAAAAGAAUUGGGUAAUAAAUGUACUAAAGAGCAAUUUUUCUAAUAGUUGGCAGAAGGUGGUAAAAGAUUUGGAAGCUGGAAAAUGAGACUCUGUCUCUGAUAGAAAACAUGCAUUUUAGGAGCUGAACACAUGGAGGUUCCUGGAAGAUGGUGAGCCCAGGGAGGGUAUGGAAGCUCCACGCCUCCUUCCUUUCUUAUACCUCGUCCUAUGCAUCUUUUCAUCUGUAUCCUUUGUAAUGCCC
rnacentral:lncRNA from 1 species